CCCUACGGUCAUGCCACGCUGAAAAAGCCCAAUGUCUGAUCUUGGAAGCUAAGCAGGGUCAGGCCUGGUUAGUACUUGGAUGGGAGACCACCUAGGGAGAUCAGGUGCUGUAGGCA
rnacentral:rRNA from 1 species